GGCAGGGCAGGAUCUCUCUUCUGUCUUUCCGCUCCCCUGGCUUUGCUGAGGGUUGUUGGUGGGGAACCAGUUUAAGAGGAGGCCUCCCCACUGUGGUUGCUGCUAGAAUCCUAAUAGCAAAUCCAGUGAGUUGUGGGCUCAGUGAGCACCCGUAGGAGUCUUAACAACGGGAGUGUUUUCCCCCACUGCUUUUCCCUGUUUGAAAGUGCUUAUGGCGUGCGUGUAUUUAUUGCUUGUCAUUCUCCCUGGUGUGCGCUUGCUGAAGGCACCUGUGCCGACUCUCUGGCACACAGAAGAGUGUCUGCUCAUGGUUAAUGAUCCCGGACUGAAUGAAGGAGGACUGUGGCUUCAUAAAGAACUGGAAGUGCCUGGUUCUGAAAAUAACAAAGAAAUCCACACGUCCGAUGGCCACCCCCAGUGGAAGAGAAGACUCCAGCUCCCAGACACCAGGUCAUGGGAAGCAGGGAAGUGGAGCCUGCGUGGAGCAACUGGACCACCCGGAGAAGCUGGAGGUGGAGAUGCCAGACCAGAGUGCCAUGUGGAAGAAAGCACAGGAAUUCUUCCAGACCUGUGACUCCGAGGGCAAGGGCUUCAUUGCCAGGACAGACAUGCAGAGGCUGCAUCAGGAGUUGCCCCUAAGUCUAGAAGAAUUGGAAGAUGUGUUUGACGCCCUGGAUGCUGAUGGCAAUGGCUUUCUGACCCCAGAAGAGUUCACCACUGGAUUUAGUCACUUCUUCUUCAGUCAAAAUAUCCAAGGAGAGGAAGAAGCUGACCAGCAGGUGGCCCAGCUCCAAGAGGAGAAAGUGUAUCAGUCUAGAGGGGAGGAGGAUGUGGGAGACAUGGACCAUGAUGAAGAAGCACAAUUUCAGAUGCUGAUGGACAGACUUGGAGCCCAGAAAGUUCUGGAAGAUGAAAGUGACGUCAGGCAGCUGUGGCUGCAGCUGAGGAAGGACGAGCCCCACCUGCUGUCCAACUUCGAAGACCUCCUCACCACAAUUUUUGCUCAGCUCCAAGAAGCCCAUGAGCAGAAGAACGAACUGGAAUGUGCCCUCAGAAAGAAAAUUGCUGCUUACGAUGAAGAAAUCCAGCAUCUCUAUGAGGAGAUGGAGCAGCAGAUCAAAAGUGAGAGGGAGCAGUUCCUCCUGAAAGACACAGAGAGAUUCCAGGCUCGCAGCCGGGAGUUGGAAAAGAAGCUGAGCGCCAAGGAGCAGGAGCUGGAGCGACUCAAUCAGAAGCAGAGGAAGCUGGAAGGCCAGUGUGCAGCUCUACACAACGACAAGCACGAAACCAAGGCUGAGAACAGCAAGCUGAGACUCACUAACCAGGAGCUGGCCCGGGAGUUGGAGCGCACCUCCCACCAACUCCAGGAGGCCCAGCAGCAGCUGGAGAGCCUCCAGAGAGAGGCCUGCGAGCUGCAGCAGGAGAAGGAGAUGGAAGUGUACCGAGUGACUGAAAGCCUGCAGCGGGAGAAGUCUGGCCUCCUGAAACAGCUGGAUUUCCUAAGGGAAAGGAACAAACAUCUCCGGGACGAACGGGACAUAACUUUCCAGGUCCUCUGGAAGCAUGGAGUGGCUGAUUCAAGCAACACUCUUCCUGUGAUCUGAUUCCUAGUGUCUCCUGGAAGAGCUCUGUCCCAGAGUCUUAGCAAACGGGGUUCUGAGCCCUUCUCCCCUCCAGUUCUGAGUUACAGCUAUUUGAGCAGUUCAUCCAUACCCAGCCUGCUUCCACAGGGGGCUGCAGAGGUUCGGGGCUAAUGAGGGAGUGGUGGACAGAACUCUGGAAUAACUGCUCCUCUGGUUGGGGGGAGUCCCUAGCUCAACACCUCAUGGGCUUUGAUGGGAAAGGGAGAUUGGAGCCACAAGGAAGAGUACGACCUAAAAUACCAGCAUAUUUUCUCAGGUAAUACGUAUCUUUGACUUCUCUUCUGAUCUCUUGCAAGUUCCUGUGAAAAAAGGCACAAGAAACCCUAGGCUCUCCACUUUGUAUUCCCUCCUUUGAGCGGAUUUCUGGGAAGGAGAUGGAGUCCUAACUGGAGUGGGCCAGGGGUGGAAAAACUGGAGAGUGGGUGAUCAAAGAGGAAAACCUGGCCUGCUUCUCUCAUUUAGAGUCCUAUCUAGAGCUUUCCCUCACUUCUGCUCAAGCAGAAGUCGAGAUGGAUGCACGGGAGUGGAUCUCAGGGCAUUUUGUGUUUCUGCAGAAAGAUAAGGCGGCCAAGGCAAACACAGCUGCUUCCAAGGCAAGCAGGAAGCAAAGAUCUGGCUCUGUGAUCGGCAAAUACGUGGAUGGCAGGGGAAUUCUCAGGAGCCAGUCAGAGGAGGAGGAAGACGUAUUCAGCGCCCCCAGGAGGAGAAGCUCAGUGGGUCUGAGUGCAUAUCUCCAGGCAGAAGAGGACCUGGGAACUGGGGAGCCAGGGUCUGGUGUUCCACGUCGCCAGGCACUCCGAAGGAUCAUCUCCAUUGAGGAGGAUCCCCUGCCUCAGCUCCUGGAAGGAGGCUUUGAGAAGCCACUGAGCAGAUGCCCAGAAGAGGAGGAGGUCUCUGACCAGGGAACAGAAAGACAAAGCGUGGCAGCCCCAGUCUUGGAUCUCAUCCCUACCUCUCCCCGAGGGCAGCCUGUUGGAAAAGAGACCCUCUACAAGGAGGAAAGGGUCCCCUCUACCCCUGACCGGCUCUUUAAGAUCGUGUUUGUGGGUGACUCUGCUGUAGGGAAGACAUCCUUCCUGAGGAGACUCUGUGAGGCCCGCUUCUCCCCAGGCAUGGCGGCCACUGUGGGCAUCGACUACCGAGUGAAGACAGUCACUGUGGACAACGCACAGGUGGCCCUGCAGCUGUGGGAUACUGCUGGGCAGGAGAGAUAUCGCUGUAUCAGUCAGCAGUUCUUCAGAAAGGCCGACGGUGUGGCUGUUAUGUAUGACCUCACAGCCAAGCAGUCCUUCCUGUCGAUCCGCCAGUGGCUCAGCAGCGUGGAGGAAGCUGUGGGAGACCGAAUUCCUGUUCUGCUGCUGGGCAAUAAACUUGACAAUGAGAAGGAGCGGGAAGUGCCCCGGGGCCUGGGAGAGCAACUCGCCAAGGAGAACAAUUUGAUCUUCUAUGAAUGCAGUGCCUGUUCGGGUCACAACGCCCAAGAGUCCCUGCUCCACCUGGCCAGGUUACUCAAGGAGCAAGAGGACACAGUGAGAAACGACACCAUUCAGGUUGGCCCCCCUGCGAAGAAGAAAUCCUGUUGUGGCUGACAGUAGUCUCCCACCCCCAGCCAGCCUGCCCAUGCCCACGGUCACCUUCAGCCAGCAGCCCUUCAAAGCCCAAGGUCACGUGGUUGCUUGAAUCAGCACUUGGGUUCCUAUGCAGCAACACCUGGCAAGGCCCACUCUGACUUGCCCUUGUUGGUGACUUGCCUCCCCUAAUGGAAGGAAGCACCCGCAGCCAGGAAGACUGCUUUUUCUGUAUCUUGAAAUCUGUUCCCCUUUCUCUUCUACACCCCAAUACCCACUUCUUUCCCCCCCCCUCCAAUGUGGUUUUCUGAAAGAAAGGAGCAGAUGGGCUUUUCCAGAAAAGUCACCACGUGCCUUCUCCACCUCCCUUCUCCUCUCUCCAUGCCCUCAGGAGGCUCUGCGCUGUGGUUGCCAUGGCAACAGUGCAGGGGCAACUUGCUGCUUCUUGAAGGCCAAAGAUGUGCCAUUUGGGUGAUGCUGGGGUGGCCUGUCUUGCUUUGGCCCCUGUUCUCCAGAAACCAGAGAGCUGCUUUCAGCACAUGGGUCAUGGACCUUGAGACACUCGAAUGUCUGCUCCAGCUCCAGGGGCUGUCUGCUUCUCCCUGAGGUUCCGAAUCACAAGCUUCACCAGCCUCUCCCAGCUAACAGUGCACUCACUGGAUCUGCACCCGCGGGUCUCUUCAGUGUGCUUCCGAAUGACCCUGCAGCCCUGGCUCCACGGUGAACCAUGGAUGACGGCUCCACACCUGGAGUUACACAACACACAUACUUCCUACUUAACUUUGAAAAGGACAAACAAAAGGGGAAGCCAUCUAUGGCUAACGAUAGUGGCCAUUUCUGAAGGGUCUAAAUAAGAUGUAUGCUGCACAUAAAAACCACUUUCUGAGGGUUUCUCCAAAUACCUCUUUGGAAAAUCACAUCUGAUCAUUGACAGGGUAGAUUGACAGGCGUGUGUGUGGAGGGGAGUGGCGUCCAACACUAAGUCUGUAAUUAUUGGCUUCAUUUGUUUCAUUUUCUUUUAUUCCAGGAGAUUAUACUGAUUUUUUUUAAAUGUAGCUGUGAUUUUGUGGGUGCUUGAGAAGUGAGCUGCCUCUAGCUGCUGACUUCAGCAGAGGGCGCUAGGCUUCAGGGAAUGACCUGAGCCCUGCAGGGGUCCAUUCCUUGCUUCUGGUCAGCACUAAAUGUCUGGGUGCUAGAAAAUACAUCCUUGUCCUAGAUGGGAGGUAGGAUAGAAAGAUGACACAGGGUGCUUUUCACAAGUGAUUGUCAUUCCGCUGACACUGUCUUCUUCAGCACAAGAGUCAGGCACCAACCCACACCCACCAAGUGAGGCUCACUGAGAGGACAGAAUCUUAAGGACAAACUCCCCGUGGCCACGUAAGCGAGGAGAAACAGCAAGCUAGAGUUCCUAGACAUGUUGCACAGCCUCUUCCCCAGACCCCUCAAAGAACAAGAGCCCCACGGUCAUCAGGCACCUGACUGUGCCUGACUUUGGAAGGCUGCAUGGAAGGAAGCACAUGACUGCUUUCGGGAGGCUUUUCUCCUUUUUUGAUGUAACAUUUGCAGGGAGCAAAGAGCCGGUGGCAAAUGCUUAACAGAACCCAUACCCAGGUGCCUCGAGAAGGUCCGUAAUGGCCACAGGCUGGCUUCCACCCCAGACCCCUAUCCCCAUCAGUUAAAGGUGGGGUGAGUUCUUGGAUGGUUGGCAGCUCUUUGCUUGGAUGCAUAGGGUGGCUUGUGAUGUCUCUGAUGACACACUCACUUUUCUCACAAGCUGGCCCCACACCUCAGGCUCAUAUCUUUCCCUAGGGUAAGGACAAUGGUGGUGGUUAUAUUUGUGGAUUGGGGCAUGCGGAAGAAGCACGAGAGCCACUCAGAAGUGGUACUCACUGUGUGUGUACGUGUGUGUUUGUGUGUGUGUGUGUGUGUGUGUGUGUGUGUGUGUGUGUGUGUGUGUGUGUAGGGCAGGUACAAGGUAGGACGGCCACGAACAGUGUGGCCAGCUCCUCUGGUUCUGGCCAGACAGAGAUGGAACUGUAAUACAUAGAGCAAGCAGUCUCUACUGGGAUCCUCUGGGCCCCCAGAUGCCUUUAUCAGCACUCAGUCCAAACUAAGGAUAUCAUUCUUUUUUUAAUUAGAUAUUUUCUUUAUUUCAAAUGUUAUUUCCUUUCCUAGUUUCACCUCCAAAAACCCCCUACCCCUCCUCUCUCCCCCUGCUUCCCAACCCACCCACUCCCACUUCCUGGCCUUGGCAUUCCCCUACACUGGGCAUCGAGCCUUCACAGGAUCAAGAGCCUCUCCUCCCAUUGAUGACUGACUAGGCCAUUCUCUGCUACAUAUGCAGCUAGAGCCAUGAGUCCCUCCAUGUGUUUUCUUUGGUUGGUGGUUUAGUACCAGGGAGCUCUGGGGCUACUGGUUAGUUCAUAUUGUCGUUCCUCCUAGGGGGCUGCAAACCCCUUCAGCUCCUGGGGUCCUUUCUCUAGCUCCUUCAUUGGGGACAGGAUAUCAUUCUUAUGCAUAAAUAAAGUGCCUUGAAGGGUUCGGAGGAGAGUGGGCGAGCACUGGUACGAAGCCUUUGGACAUGUGACAAGUGCCAUGGUUCUUUAGAGGUCUAGGAGAAGUAGGGACAGGGAGGUCUCAGGGACAGAGAGGUCUUGGUUGUUCCUUUCUUAGUCCCACUGUAAAGGAAAGAGAAGAAUAUGGGCUUUGGUGGGGCUCUGAGGAGUCCCUUGUUCCCAGCUCUCAGCUUCUACUCCCCAAUUCUUUUAAACAGACUGGGUGGAUCUGAGCCACCCUCAGGGGCUAUCUCCCUGGCCCAGAGGCUGGCAGAGUGCUCAGAAGAACCUCUGUCUCCAUCCCAUUUGCACCCCUGUUGAUCUUUCAUCUACCAUAGACUGAAAGUUUCAGGGUCUUCCUCACAUGGAGCUUAAGAGUCUCAUGCAAUGGCCAUGAAGAACUCAGCGCAGUGCCCAGUACUCCACAGGCCUUUGGUACCAGGGCCUGGUUUUAUUGGUAGGUAGCAUGGAGUCACAGCCCAGCCUACUUUCUAGUCAUCUGCCCGGAAUGGGUACACUUACUGGAACCGGCUCACUUGGACAUCUCUCCGCUCAGCCCAUUGGCUGGGUUCUGAGUCAGAGCUGACUUUGCUUUUGACCUUGCUGUCAUUUGUUCCCACGGACUCCCAGGAUUCCUGGGUUUCCUGCCAGGGCCCUUGUCCCGUCAGUGGCCCUUUCUGAUUCCAGGCGGCAGUCUCUGCUUCUCUUCUCUGUCGUUCUCCAGGACUGGGGCAGCAGCUGAGACCUGGGGCCAGUCCAUGACUUUUUAGCUAUGAGUGACCUUGGCUUAGGACAGUCACACAGCUCCCUCACUCUCUUGUUCUUAGCUGACCCAUGAUGCUUUGUGUCUGCUGCCACCCACAACCCUAAACUGUCAAGUCAGGAAGUCCUACACCAAACCAGUAUCCCAGGUGUUUCGUUCCUGCUUAGGGUUUGCUUCUUCAGUCUCCCUGGGGUAUUUCAUGUUCCCCUGUGACAUGCUCUCUCUCCAUUCUCCCCUCUUUAGUCUCUCUGUCCCACUCUUCUCCCUAAUUCUGGGCUUCCCACUCUCCUCAGGAGACCCUCUAAUCAUACGUAUGAACUUUGCCAAAUGACUCAGCUGUCUCUGCAGCGAGCAGUGCUCUAAGGGUUAUAAACCAGUCUGACUAAGGUGCUAACAAGAGCAGCAGCUCCAGGGCUCUCACGUGCUUUGACAAAGAACUCCGAAUGAGUCGCUAGUGGUAGGAUUUUAAGCUCCUACAGAGUUGGGAUAUGGGGGUCAAAUAUUUGAGACCAAGCUGUCUUUCCCCCUGCUACUACUGUCAGAGGUCUGUUUGCUUCGUGUAUUGAGGGCUCCGCUGCUAGGUUGAAAUGUAUUCAAACCAUGACAUCUUCAGGAUACAGUAGCAUCCUAUGUAACAGUAACAAACGUUUGUCUUCAAGUCUAUUUUGUGGUCCCUCUUUUAUUUGCUGUUUACACGGUGUAUAUUUCUCUUUCACCUUCAAUCUCUGUAUCUCUAACGUGAGUCUCUUGUACACACCAUAUAGUUGGCACAUUUUUUUUAAAAAAAUCUAUUUUCCAAUAUCUUUUAAUUGGAAUUUUUGUUUGCAUUUAAUCUGAUUGAUAAGAAAAGAUUAUAUCUGCCACUUUUCUAUUUUCUUCAUAUUUAUAUAUAAUAUACAUUUUAUUUCUUUGUUUUUCAUCACUACCUUCUUUCCUAUUAAAUAGAUAUUUUUCUGGCUCAUCAUUUCAUUAUCUUCCCUGCUUUAUUUUAAAUAUAUAUCCUUUCGGUACUUGCAGUGAGGAUUACCAUGAACAUUUCAAUUUCUAAUAAUAUGUUUGGAUCAAGAAUACCUUAUUUUAAUAAGACAUGAAACUCUGAUUAUGUAUACCUCUAUUCUCAUCUUCUUUAUGUAUGUAUGCAUUAUAUAUACACACAUAUAUAUAAUCAACAGUUAUAUCUUCAUAUAUCCUGAUCCUCUCGUGUAAAUUUAUAAUUAUUGUUUUAUGCAUUCAUCCUAUACUUUGACCUUUAAAGGGAGUUAGUUAUAAGUGGUCAACAUCCAGAGAAUAAAUGUCAUUGGAAUACUCA